GGUUGUUAAAAACUAACUAAUCAAAACAAAAGUGGAGUAAGAAUAAUUAUUCUUAAUUCUUCUAGUGGGAAACAAAUAAAUUAUUCUUUUUUAUUUUUAAAAUUAGGAGUGUAACCCCAUGGAUAUGCCGACAUAAACGUAAUUUAUAGUGUUUUUAGUUAUUUCAUAAUCAGCUGAGAAUAUAAAAAUUAAUUUGUAUGCUUAAUAAAUUAUUGAGUCUAUAACUAUAGUCAAAUAAUAUCAAUAAAGGUUAUACAUAAUUUGGGUCUCAAUUGAAAAAAAAAAAGAAAGAUGAGAUACAACAUUUCGGAUAUGAAAAUUAUUUGUAGAAGACUUGAGAGUUAAAAUUAAACCAGUUAGUUCUAUAACUUUUACUUAGAAGUUAGACCAAAUGGAUUGAAGUCUUAAAGUCACAUCAUGUUCCUUAAAACCACAAAUUUGACGAGCCAAUUCUAUACAUUCAAAUUUCCAGCCAAUCACCCCCGAAAAAACCCCAAGCUAAAGGUCAA
rnacentral:lncRNA from 1 species